rnacentral:rRNA from 1 species
AUUGAACGCUGGCGGCAUGCUUUACACAUGCAAGUCGAACGGUAGCAGGGUGCUUGCACCGCUGACGAGUGGCGAACGGGUGAGUAAUGCGUCGGAACGUGCCGAGUAGGGGGGGAUAACGCAGCGAAAGUUGGGCUAAUACCGCAUACGUACUGAGGUAGAAAGUGGGGGACCUUCGGGCCUCACGCUAUUCGAGCGGCCGACGUCUGAUUAGCUAGUAGGUGAGGUAAAGGCUCACCUAGGCGACGAUCCGUAGCGGGUCUGAGAGGAUGAUCCGCCACACUGGGACUGAGACACGGCCCAGACUCCUACGGGAGGCAGCAGUGGGGAAUUUUGGACAAUGGGCGAAAGCCUGAUCCAGCCAUGCCGCGUGUCUGAAGAAGGCCUUCGGGUUGUAAAGGACUUUUGUCAGGGAGGAAAUCCCUAGCGUUAAUACCGCUGGGGGAUGACAGUACCUGAAGAAUAAGCACCGGCUAACUACGUGCCAGCCGCCGCCGUAAAAC